rnacentral:rRNA from 2 species
UGAGGAAUAUUGGUCAAUGGUCGGAAGACUGAACCAGCCAUGCCGCGUGCGGGAAGAAGGCCCUAUGGGUUGUAAACCGCUUUUGACCGGGAGUAAUAAGGGGCGUGCGCGCCCCGAUGAGAGUACCGGUGGAAUAAGCAUCGGCUAACUCCGUGCCAGCAGCCGCGGUAAUACGGAGGAUGCAAGCGUUAUCCGGAUUUAUUGGGUUUAAAGGGUGCGUAGGCGGACCGUUAAGUCAGCGGUGAAAUGUCCCGGCUCAACCGGGGAGCUGCCGUUGAUACUGGCGGACUUGAGUCCAAACGGCGCCGGCGGAAUAUGUAAUGUAGCGGUGAAAUGCAUAGAUAUUACAUAGAACACCGAUCGCGAAGGCAGCUGGCGAGGAUGGCACUGACGCUGAGGCACGAAGGCGUGGGGAUCGAACAGG